GUCAUAGCUGAGUGGUACAGUAUCAGUUUUGCAUACAGAAGGUCCCAGGUUCAAUCCCCAGUUAAGAUU